AGGUAUUGACAACUUUAUCACUCCUGCAACAAUCUCUCACUGCUGCAACUUUACAUCCUUACAUGCUUUUUGAAUUUAGUGAACUACAACAUAGUUGGAUGAAUAUGAAGGCCAAAUACCGUGGUUAAAUAGAUGCACAGACCAUCACUGCCUUAUGGGUAUGCUUGUCUAAGACCAGAGACACCUCAGGGAAGCUAGAAUCGCUACCAAUGCAAUAGGCUCACAACAUCUACAAUCUGUGACAGGCAUUUAGUGAUACUUUCCCUUGACAGUGAUGAAAAUAAGAUAAAGUGACAGGACGCUGUGCACAGAUGAAACCAUGGGAAACACACCAUAUGAAACAAUACUGGCUAAAGAGGCAAUUUCCUUUGUAUCCUGUUUGUGCCAGUACUGGGAGAUAUUACUGGUACCAGCAGAGUGAAAAUGCAAUAUGUACAGGUAGCUACAAGACUGCUUAUAGAGUUAUGAAAAAUAGAUGGUUUCUGUGUAAAAUAUAGCUUAUUAAUUUUCUU